rnacentral:rRNA from 1 species
AGAGUUUGAUCAUGGCUCAGAUUGAACGCUGGCGGCAGGCUUAAGACAUGCAAGUCGAGCGGAAACGAUGGGAGCUUGCUCCCAGGCGUCGAGCGGCGGACGGGUGAGUAACGCGUAGGAAUCUGCCCAGUAGAGGGGGAUAGCCCGGGGAAACUCGGAUUAAUACCGCAUACGCCCUACGGGGGAAAGGCCGGGAUCUUCGGACCGGUCACUAUUGGAUGAGCCUGCGUAAGAUUAGCUUGUUGGUGGGGUAAAGGCCUACCAAGGCGACGAUCUUUAGCUGGUCUGAGAGGAUGAUCAGUCACACUGGAACUGAGACACGGUCCAGACUCCUACGGGAGGCAGCAGUCGGGAAUAUUGGACAAUGGGGGCAACCCUGAUCCAGCCAUGCCGCGUGUGUGAAGAAGGCCUUAGGGUUGUAAAGCACUUUCAGUAGUGAGGAAGGGUGCAAGGUUAAUAGCCUUUGUACAUUGACGUUAACUACAGAAGCAGCACCGGCUAACUCCGUGCCAGCAGCCGCGGUAAUACGGAGGGUGCAAGCGUUAAUCGGAAUUACUGGGCGUAAAGCGCGCGUAGGCGGUUCGUUAAGUGUGAUGUGAAAGCCCAGGGCUCAACCUUGGAACUGCAUUACAUACUGACAGACUAGAGUACGGUAGAGGGAGGUAGAAUUCCACGUGUAGCGGUGAAAUGCGUAGAGAUGUGGAGGAUACCAGUGGCGAAGCGCCUCCUGGAUCGAUACUGACGCUGAGUGCGAAAGCGUGGGGAGCAAACAGGAUUAGAUACCUGGUAGUCACGCUGUAAACGAUGUCAACUAGCCGUUGGGGGGGUAAUCCCUUUAGUGGCGCAGCUAACGCGAUAAGUUGACCGCCUGGGGAGUACGGUCGCAAGAUUAAAACUCAAAUGAAUUGACGGGGGCCCGCACAAGCGGUGGAGCAUGUGGUUUAAUUCGACGCAACGCGAAGAACCUUACCUGGUCUUGACAUCCUACGAACUUUCCAGAGAUGGAUUGGUGCCUUCGGGAACGUAGUGACAGGUGCUGCAUGGCUGUCGUCAGCUCGUGUCGUGAGAUGUUGGGUUAAGUCCCGUAACGAGCGCAACCCUUGUCCUUAUUUGCCAUCACUAAGCUGGGCACUCUAGGGAGACUGCCGGUGACAAACCGGAGGAAGGUGGGGACGACGUCAAGUCAUCAUGGCCCUUACGACCAGGGCUACACACGUGCUACAAUGGAGCGUACAAAGGGUUGCAACCCCGCGAGGGUGAGCUAAUCCCAUAAAACGUUUCGUAGUCCGGAUCGCAGUCUGCAACUCGACUGCGUGAAGUCGGAAUCGCUAGUAAUCGUGGAUCAGAAUGCCACGGUGAAUACGUUCCCGGGCCUUGUACACACCGCCCGUCACACCAUGGGAGUGGGUUGCAAAAGAAGUGGGUAGCAUAACCUUCGGGAGUGCGCUCACCACUUUGUGAUUCAUGACUGGGGUGAAGUCGUAACAAGGUAUCCGUA